rnacentral:rRNA from 1 species
UUAAGCAUAUCAAUAAGCGGAGGAAAAGAAACUAACAAGGAUUCCCCUAGUAACUGCGAGUGAAGCGGGAAGAGCUCAAAUUUGAAAUCUGGCGGUUCUUGAACUGUCCGAGUUGUAAUCUAGAGAAGUGUUACCUGUGCUGGACCGUGUACAAGUCUCCUGGAAUGGAGCAUCACAGAGGGUGAGAAUCCCGUCUUUGACACGGACUACCUGUGCGAUAUGGUGCGCUCUCGAAGAGUCGAGUUGUUUGGGAAUGCAGCUCAAAAUGGGUGGUAAAUGCCAUCUAAAGCUAAAUAUUGGCGAGAGACCGAUAGCGAACAAGUACCGUGAGGGAAAGAUGAAAAGAACUUUGGAAAGAGAGUUAAACAGUACGUGAAAUUGCUGAAAGGGAAACGCUUGAAGUCAGUCACGUCGGCUAGAAAUCAACCUGCUUUUGCUUGGUGUACUUUCUGGUUGAUGGGUCAGCAUCAAUUUUGACCAUCGGAUAAAGUCAUUGGGAAUGUGGCAUCUUCGGAUGUGUUAUAGCCCGUUGUCGCAUACGUUGGUUGGGAUUGAGGAACUCAGCACGCCGCAAGGCCGGGGGUCUUUCCCUACGUUCGUGCUUAGGAUGCUGGCAUAAUGGCUUUAAUCGACCCGUCUUGAAACACGGACCAAGGAGUCUAACAUGCCUGCGAGUGUUUGGGUGGAAAACCCAUGCGCGCAAUGAAAGUGAAAGUUGAGAUCCCUUUCUGGGGAGCAUUGACGCCCGGACCAGAGCUUUUGUGACGGAUCCGCGGUAGAGCAUGUAUGUUGGGACCCGAAAGAUGGUGAACUAUGCCUGAAUAGGGUGAAGCCAGAGGAAACUCUGGUGGAGGCUCGUAGCGAUUCUGACGUGCAAAUCGAUCGUCAAAUUUGGGUAUAGGGGCGAAAGACUAAUCGAACCAUCUAGUAGCUGG